GAUGAAGAACGCAGCGAAAUGCGAUAAGUAGUGUGAAUUGCAGAAUUCAGUCAAUCAUCGAAUCUUUGAACGCACAUUGCGCCCCUUGGUAUCCCGAGGGGCAUGCCUGUUCGAGCGUCAUUUCACCACUCAAGCCUGGCUUGGUGUUGGGCGACGUCCCCUUUGGGGACGCGCCUCGAAACGCUCGGCGGCGUGGCACCGGCUUUAAGCGUAGCAGAAUCUUUCGCUUUGGAAGUCGGGGCCCCGUCUGCCGGAAGACCUACUCGCAAGGUUGACCUCGGAUCAGGCAGGGAUACCCGCUGAACUUAAGCAUAUCAAUAAGCGGAGGA
rnacentral:misc_RNA from 1 species